AGCGAACGCUGGCGGCAGGCUUAACACAUGCAAGUCGAGCGGGCCCUUCGGGGUCAGCGGCAGACGGGUGAGUAACACGUGGGAACGUACCCUUUGGUUCGGAAUAACUCUGGGAAACUAGCGCUAAUACCGGAUACGCCCUUUUGGGGAAAGGCUUGCUGCCGAAGGAUCGGCCCGCGUCUGAUUAGCUAGUUGGUAGGGUAAUGGCCUACCAAGGCGACGAUCAGUAGCUGGUCUGAGAGGAUGAUCAGCCACACUGGGACUGAGACACGGCCCAGACUCCUACGGGAGGCGGCAGUGGGGAAUAUUGGACAGUGGGCGCAAGCCUGAUCCAGCCAUGCCGCGUGAGUGAUGAAGGCCUUAGAGUUGUAAAGCUCUUGUGUCCGGGACGAUAAUGACGGUACCGGAAGAAUAAGCCCCGGCUAACUUCGUG
rnacentral:rRNA from 1 species